UACGGAGGGUGCGAGCGUUGUCCGGAAUCAUUGGGCGUAAAGGGCGCGAUAGGUGGCCCGGUCGAGUCUUUGGUGAAAGCGCGGGGCUCAACCCUGCGUCGGCCAGGGAUACUGCCGCGGCUCGAGCACUGUAGAGGCAGGCGGGAAUUCCGGGUCGGUAGCGGUGGAAUGCGUAGAGAUCCGGAAGAACACCGGUGGCGAAGGCGGCCCCCUGGGCCAACACGUGAC
rnacentral:rRNA from 1 species